CUUCGGAUUAUAGCUCUCCGUCGAAAUGAUUGCGGGCGGAAUUUUUGGGUUCUGGAUCAUCGGCGUAGUGUACCAAAAUGCAUCAUUACAUGCAGCUUGUCGCUGAGUUGAGCCUAACCCCACACGUAUUCUUGCCGGAAAAUUUCCACACUUUUACAAGUUUUGACCUCGGAUCAGGUAGGGAUACCCGCUGAACUUAA
rnacentral:misc_RNA from 1 species